rnacentral:rRNA from 1 species
AGCAGCCGCGGUAAUUCCAGCUCCAAUAGCGUAUAUUAAAGUUGUUGCAGUUAAAAAGCUCGUAGUUGAAUUUCGAGAUCAGUACGCUGGUCGUGCCUUCGGUAUGCACUGGUGUCACUGGUUUCUCCCUUCUGAAGAACCGUAAUGCCAUUCAGUUGGUGUGGCGGGAAUCAGGAUUGUUACUUUGAAAAAUUAGAGUGUUUAAAGCAGGCUCGCGCUUGAAUACAUUAGCAUGGAAUAAUGAAAUAGGACGUUUGAUCCUAUUUUGUUGGUUUCUAGGAUCGACGUAAUGAUUAAUAGGGAUAGGUUGGGGGCAUUAGUAUUCAAUUGUCAGAGGUGAAAUUCUUGGAUUUAUUGAAGACUAACUACUGCGAAAGCAUUUGCCAAGGAUGUUUUCAUUAAUCAAGAACGAAAGUUAGGGGAUCGAAGACGAUCAGAUACCGUCGUAGUUUUAACCAUAAACUAUAGCCGACUAGGGAUCGGGAUGGUAUUAGUUAAUUUUUAAUGGUCUUCA